rnacentral:rRNA from 1 species
UACGUAGGGUCCGAGCGUUGCCUCGGAAUUAUUGGGCGUAAAGAGCUCGUAGGCGGUUUGUCGCGUCUGCUGUGAAAUCCCGAGGCUCAACCUCGGGUCUGCAGUGGGUACGGGCAGACUGGAGUGCGGUAGGGGAGAAUGGAAUUCCUGGUGUAGCGGUGGAAUGCGCAGAUAUCAGGAGGAACACCGAUGGCGAAGGCAGUUCUCUGGGCCGUAACUGACGCUGAGGAGCGAAAGCGUGGGGAGCGAACAGG